rnacentral:rRNA from 1 species
GACGAACGCUGGCGGCGUGCCUAAUACAUGCAAGUAGAACGCUGAAGGAGGAGCUUGCUUCUCUGGAUGAGUUGCGAACGGGUGAGUAACGCGUAGGUAACCUGCCUGGUAGCGGGGGUUAACAUUGGAAACGGUAGCUAAUACCCCCUUAUUGGAGAUGUUUCAUUACCUUUUCUUAAAAAGUUCCAUUUCCUCCAUUACAGAUUGGACUGCGUUGUAUUAGCUAGUUGGUGGGGUAACGGCUCACCAAGGCGACGAUACAUAGCCGACCUGAGAGGGUGAUCGGCCACACUGGGACUGAGACACGGCCCAGACUCCUACGGGAGGCAGCAGUAGGGAAUCUUCGGCAAUGGACGGAAGUCUGACCGAGCAACGCCGCGUGAGUGAAGAAGGUUUUCGGAUCGUAAAGCUCUGUUGUAAGAGAAGAACGAGUGUGAGAGUGGAAAGUUCACACUGUGACGGUAUCUUACCAGAAAGGGACGGCUAACUACGUG